rnacentral:rRNA from 1 species
AGUGAACGCUGGCGGUAGGCCUAACACAUGCCAGUCGAACGGCAGCACAGUAAGAGCUUGCUCUUACGGGUGGCGAGUGGCGGACGGGUGAGGAAUACAUCGGAAUCUACUUUUUCGUGGGGGAUAACGUAGGGAAACUUACGCUAAUACCGCAUACGACCUACGGGUGAAAGCAGGGGAUCUUCGGACCUUGCGCGAUUGAAUGAGCCGAUGUCGGAUUAGCUAGUUGGCGGGGUAAAGGCCCACCAAGGUGACGAUCCGUAGCUGGUCUGAGAGGAUGAUCAGCCACACUGGAACUGAGACACGGUCCAGACUCCUACGGGAGGCAGCAGUGGGGAAUAUUGGACAAUGGGCGCAAGCCUGAUCCAGCCAUACCGCGUGGGUGAAGAAGGCCUUCGGGUUGUAAAGCCCUUUUGUUGGGAAAGAAAAGCAGCAGGUUAAUACCCCGCUGUUCUGACGGUACCCAAAGAAUAAGCACCGGCUAACUUCGUG